rnacentral:rRNA from 1 species
AAUCAACGCUGGCGGCAUGCCUAACACAUGCAAGUCGAACGCGAAAGGGUCCUUCGGAGUCUGAGUAGAGUGGCGUCCGGGUGAGUAACGCGUAGGUAAUCUACCUUUGGGUGGGGAAUAACUCAGGGAAACUUGAGCUAAUACCGCAUAACAUUGAAAGAUCAAAGCGGGGGAUCGCAAGACCUCGCGCCUGAAGAGGAGCCUGCGUCUGAUUAGCUAGUUGGUGAGGAAUGGCUCACCAAGGCUUCGAUCAGUAGCUGGUCUGAGAGGAC